rnacentral:tRNA from 3 species
GCGGGAAUAACUCAACGGUAGAGUGUCAGCUUCCCAAGCUGAAAGUUGCGGGUUCAAAUCCCGUUUCCCGCUCCA